rnacentral:misc_RNA from 1 species
GUGAAUCAUCGAAUCUUUGAACGCAUAUUGCGCUCUUUGGUAUUCCGAAGAGCAUGCUUGUUUGAGUAUCAGUAAACACCUCAACCUCUCUUUUUGACAAAAAAAGAGAGGGUGGACUUGAGCUAUCCCAACGACCUUCACCGGUAGGCGGGCGGCUUGAAAUGCAGGUGCAGCUGGACUUUUAUCUGAGCUAAAAGCAUAUUUAUUUAGUCCCGUCAAACGGAUUAUUACUUUUGCUCUAGCUAAUAUAAAGGUCGAAUGUACUAUACGCUGACUGAUGCAGGAUUACCAAGUUUUACC